GAUGAACGCUGGCGGCGUGCCUAAUACAUGCAAGUCGAGCGGACGGACGAGAAGCUUGCUUCUCUGAUGUGAGGGGAGGGCGGGUGUGUAACGCGUGGAUAACCUACCUGUAAGACGGGGAACACUUCGGGAAACCGGAGCUAAUCCCGGAGGAGAUUUUGAACCGCGGGGGGCAAAAGAGAGAGACGGUGGUGCGGGCACGUAUAGAUGGAUCCGGGCUGUUUUGGCGGGUUGGGAAGGUAACGGCUUACGAAGGCAACGAGGCAUAGCCGAGGGGAUAGGCUGGUCGGCCACCCUGGAAGUGGGCCACGGUCCAGACUCCUACGGGAGGCAGCAGUCGGCUAUCUUCCGCAAUGGGCGAGAGCCUUACGGAGCGACGCCGCGUGAGUUGUGGAGGUCUUCGGAUCGUAAUGCUGUGUUAUUAGGGGAGAACCUAUGUGUAAGUAACCGUGCACAUCUUGACGGUACCUGAUCAGAAAGCCCCGGCUAACUACGUG
rnacentral:rRNA from 1 species